rnacentral:rRNA from 1 species
CCUACGGGAGGCAGCAGUGGGGAAUAUUGGACAAUGGGCGAAAGCCUGAUCCAGCCAUGCCGCGUGUGUGAAGAAGGCCUUCGGGUUGUAAAGCACUUUCAGUGAGGAAGAAAGCCUUGAGGUUAAUACCCUCGAGGGAGGACAUCACUCACAGAAGAAGCACCGGCUAACUCCGUGCCAGCAGCCGCGGUAAU